rnacentral:rRNA from 1 species
AACGAACGCUGGCGGCAUGCCUAACACAUGCAAGUCGAACGAGACCUUCGGGUCUAGUGGCGCACGGGUGCGUAACGCGUGGGAACCUGCCUUUAGGUUCGGAAUAACUCAGAGAAAUUUGAGCUAAUACCGGAUAAUGUCUUCGGACCAAAGAUUUAUCGCCUUUAGAUGGGCCCGCGUAAGAUUAGCUAGUUGGUGGGGUAAAGGCCUACCAAGGCGACGAUCUUUAGCUGGUCUGAGAGGAUGAUCAGCCACACUGGGACUGAGACACGGCCCAGACUCCUACGGGAGGCAGCAGUGGGAAUAUUGGACAAUGGGCGAAAGCCUGAUCCAGCAAUGCCGCGUGAGUGAUGAAGGCCUUAGGGUUGUAAAGCUCUUUUACCCGAGAUGAUAAUGACAGUAUCGGAGGAAUAAGCU